ACGGAGGGUGCAAGCGUUGUUCGGAAUUACUGGGCGUAAAGGGCGCGUAGGCGGCUUGAUAAGUUAGAUGUGAAAGCCCACGGCUUAACCGUGGAAGUGCAUUUAAAACUGUCAAGCUUGAGUAUCAGAGGGGAAAGUGGAAUUCCUGGUGUAGAGGUGAAAUUCGUAGAUAUCAGGAGGAAUACCAGUGGCGAAGGCGACUUUCUGGCUGAAUACUGACGCUGAGGCGCGAAAGCGUGGGGAGCAAACAGG
rnacentral:rRNA from 1 species